rnacentral:lncRNA from 1 species
AGAUGUCACUUUAUUCAUGCUUUGUGUUAUCCACAUGGAAAGCAGGACGAUAGUGUGGACUGCAAAUAGGGGUUCUCCAGUUUCUAAUUCUGAUAAGUUUGUGUUUGAUGAUAAGGGUAGUGUGUCGUUGCAAAAGGGGGGCAGUGUGGUCUGGUCUAUAGAUACUGGUGGCAAGACAGUUACUGCAAUGGAAUUGCAGGACUCGGGAAAUUUGCUUUUGCUUGGGGAUGACAACGGAGUAGUUUGGCAGAGUUUUAGUCAUCCAACUGAUACUCUAUUAUGGAACCAGGAGUUUCAAGAAGGAAUGAAACUUCAAAGUGAACCAAGCUCCAAUAAUGUAACCUAUGUUCUUGAAAUAAAGUCUGGCGACUUGAUUCUUUCUGCAGGUUACAAAACACCACAGCCUUAUUGGUCCAUGGGGAAGGAAAGCCGUAAAACAAUCAACAAAGAUGGUGGGGCAGUCACUUCAGCAUCUAUCAGUGCAAAUUCAUGGAAGUUCUAUGAUAGUUCCAAAGUGCUACUAUGGCAGUUUAUUUUCUCAUCCAAUGUUGAUGUAAAUGCCACAUGGAUUGCAGUUUUGGGAAAUGAUGGAGUUAUUUCAUUUUCCAAUCUGCAGAAUGGAGCUUCGAAUGGUCCUUCAACAACAAAAAUACCUGGCGACUCAUGCAGCACCCCUGAACCUUGUGAUUCAUAUUUUGAAUGUUUCAGCAACAACAAGUGCCAAUGCCCUUCAGGUCUUAGCUCCCGUGCCAAUUGCAAGUCGGGGAUUGUCACUUCAUGUUCAAAGGCUUCCACAAUGCUGACAAGUGCUGGUGAUGGGCUUUAUUAUUUUGCUCUGGGAUUCAUUUCACCCUCUUCAAGAACUGACUUGGAAGGUUGCAAGAGCUCUUGCCUUGCCAAUUGUUCAUGUAUGGCUAUGUUCUAUCAAAACAGUACAAGGAAUUGUUAUAUGUUUGAUAGGAUAGGUAGCUUCCAAAAUUCGGACCAGGGCUUUGUUUCUUAUGUUAAAGUGUUGAGUGAUGGAAGCAGUGGGGGCAGCGGAAGCAAGAAACAUUUCCCUUAUAUUGUGAUCAUUGCUGUUUCGACAAUAGUUGUUAUCUGUGGCUUACUCUUUGCAGGAUACCGAUACUACCAGAGGAAGAGAAAUGCACGAGAACCUUCUGAAGAUAAUUCAGAAGAGGAUAAUUUCUUGGAAAAUUUAACUGGGAUGCCAAUCCGUUUCAGUUACAAGGAUCUUCAAACUGCAACUAACAACUUCUCAAAGAAGCUUGGGCAAGGAGGUUUUGGCUCAGUUUACGAAGGGGUUCUCCCAGAUGGAACUCGACUUGCUGUGAAGAAAUUGGAAGGCAUUGGCCAGGGAAAGAAAGAGUUUCGAGCUGAAGUUAGCAUCAUUGGCAGCAUCCAUCAUCUGCACUUGGUCCGGCUCCGGGGUUUCUGUGCAGAAGGACACUAUCGACUUCUUGCUUACGAGUACAUGGCGAAUGGAUCCCUGGACAAAUGGAUUUUCAGGAAAAACAGUGAAGAUUUCCUAUUGGAUUGGGAGACAAGAUUCAACAUAGCAGUGGGUACUGCCAAAGGACUAGCUUAUCUCCAUGAAGAUUGUGACUCAAAGAUUAUUCACUGCGACAUAAAGCCUGAAAACGUGCUCCUCGACAACAAUUACAAUGCCAAAGUCUCAGAUUUUGGUCUGGCAAAGCUUAUGACCAGGGAGCAGAGCCAUGUCUUCACAACAAUGCGAGGAACUCGAGGGUACCUUGCUCCAGAGUGGAUCACAAACUAUGCUAUUUCAGAGAAAAGUGAUGUGUACAGCUAUGGAAUGCUGCUGCUGGAGAUCAUUGGUGGAAGAAAGAACUAUGACCCAUCAGAAACCUCUGAAAAAUCACAUUUUCCAUCGUAUGCCUUCAAGAUGCUGGAAGAAGGGAAACUCAAGGACAUCUUCGACUCCAAGGUGAGGAUAGAUGACGUGGACGAGAAGAUUUCUACUGCAGUUAUGGUAGCAUUAUGGUGUAUACAGGAAGACAUGACUUUGAGGCCAGCAAUGACUAAGGUUGUUCAAAUGCUUGAAGGCAUCUGCCCUGUUCAUCAGCCUCCAACUUCCUCAACAAUGGGGUCUCGCCUCUACACGAGUUUUUUCAAAUCAAUGAGUGAAGGGGGGACUUCCUCGGGUCCAUCGGACUGCAACAGCGAUGCAUACCUUUCUGCAGUGCGCCUUUCCGGGCCAAGAUAACAUUUGCUGAAUAUGGGAGUGACGGUUCUUGAGCAUUCAUGGAUGACAUAAGCUUAUUGUGUAUACAAAAUCUUCUUCUCCCAUGUAUCUUCUGUAUAUUUCUUUGAUCACUUAAAUUUUGUAACAUGUAGCCACUACUAUUUAAGCUCAGUCAUUCUGCUUGUUCUGUAAAUAAAGAGUGUCCAUUGUAGUUAAGUUUUGCAAAGUAGUGAGAUUUUAUCUUUUUUUCUUUGGUCUCCAAGUAUAGAAAUUAUAACAUAUCUUGCAAAUCUUUCAUACUCUGACAAAAGGAUAACCCUAAACUACAACAGCAGAAAACAUGGAAUUUGAUUAUAAUUUCUCUUAUGGAUUCAGAUGUGAUCUUGCAAUUUGGAUACUUUAAAAAAGAUUUCACUGAUGGAGUCCUGCAGGUCUUCAGUUAAAACCUUAAACCCUAUUCCUUGUUGCACUGAAUGUUCAAUAUUGCAGGUAAACGUCACUUCUUUGGUAGAAGAAGACACUAGUGUUCCUUUCAAUCAUAAAUCUUUCAUCAACUUGUAUGGGGCAGUAAGAAGAAUUUAGGGGGCCACCAUUGAAAUUGCUUCAACACAGUGCCCUGCGCUGACGACGGGUAUUGCCAUUGACCAGCACUGGUUUGAUUGAAGCUAAAGACCGAUAUCACUUGCAAUAUUCUCUGCAACACAGAAAUAUAUGAGGUUUGGUUUUCUUCUUCUCUGGCCUUAAUCCAGUUGUUUCUCAUCAAUUGUCAUUGGUAUGUUUCUUGAUUAUAGAUUCAGCUUUGUCCUUCUUUUUCUUAUAAUCCCUUCAGUGGUGUAAUUGUUACCGUAUAUUUGGUACUGUACUGUCAUUUUGGGAUUAUUUUUAGUUAUUUACAGUGGAGAUGUGCUUUUCAGUUUCUGAAACUAGAUGAUUAAACAGUUGAAGUUCAUAUAUAGUAGUUUCACAUUCUUCUUUAUGGUCCUUUCUAAUGGAAGUCUCUUGACUCUUCUUUGGUUAGUUGCGUCGUUCUUUUGUAAUCUUUGAGUCUCAAAAUAGUAGCUCAACACUGGUUGUUAUAGUAGCCAUGGGAGGUUGGAAUUUCAUACAUUUCACAAGCUUCAUACUUUUGUAUGUACUCCUUUGGUCUGAAACCUGCAUGUCUAGUGUUCAAUAUAUUGGGAAAAUUAGUCCAGGGUUUGAAGGAGCUCAACAGAAUUGGAUUGAUUAUGGUGGGUUGUUUCUCUUGUCUAACCAAUCUCAUUUUGGUUUUGGUUUCUCCCCUACUCCCCAAGAUGUCACGUUGUUUCUACUUGGUGUUGUUCACAUAAACACUUCUUCAGUAGUCUGGACUGCAAACAGGGGUUCCCCAGUUUCAGAUGUCGAUAAGUUUGUGUUUGAUGAUAAGGGUAGUGUGUCGUUGCAAAAGGGGGGAAGUGUGGUCUGGUCUAUAGAUACCGGUGGCAAGACAGUUACUGCAAUGGAAUUGCAGGACUCGGGA